AACUUUCAACAACGGAUCUCUUGGUUCUGGCAUCGAUGAAGAACGCAGCGAAAUGCGAUAAGUAAUGUGAAUUGCAGAAUUCAGUGAAUCAUCGAAUCUUUGAACGCACAUUGCGCCCGGCAGUAAUCUGC
rnacentral:rRNA from 1 species